GGGUACGUAAUAAUUAGAUUUAUGAUAGAUUUUGCAAAGAUUUAUAGGAUUCGUUUUGUAAUCCGUACCUU
rnacentral:tRNA from 1 species